rnacentral:rRNA from 1 species
UACGUAGGUGGCAAGCGUUGUCCGGAUUUAUUGGGCGCAAAGGGAGCGCAGGCGGUGACUUAAGUCUGAUGUGAAAGCCCACGGCUCAACCGUGGAAGGUCAUUGGAAACUGGGUCACUUGAAUAUAGAAGAGGAAAGUGGAAUUCCAUGUGUAGCGGUGAAAUGCGUAGAUAUAUGGAGGAACACCAGUCGCGAAGGCGACUUUCUGGCCAGUUACUGACGCUCAUGCGCGAGAGCUGGGUUAGCGAACCGGAUUAGAUA